CUCAGUUGUCCUCAGUGUGAAAAGAUGGAUCUCAAAAUCAUUCAGUCACUGCUGGAAAGGGUUCAAAUAUGCAAAAAAAUCCUUGAAAUCUGAAGAAUCUGCAGGACCUGGAGGAUUUUUCUGAAGAACAGAGCUCAGUUUAACUGCUCAGAGCAAACAAGAGACUCAUGAACAACCAUCACACAACAAAAAAACAGUCGUGGAUCAUCCAGGUAACCACACACAGUGUUAAGAAUCAAUGGUUCACAAACUUUUGAGCGGAGUUAUUUUAAUAAAUUCAGCUAUUUUUUUGUCUUGUGGAUUAUAUGUAAACAUUACUCAGGACUGUACUAAAUAAAAAAAAAACAUGCAUUUUGUAUGAUCUCUUUUAUUUUGUUAAAAUUUUUCACAUUUUCACAGAUUCUGCAACUUUCGCAUGGCACUGUAAUUAUGUUCUCAGAAAGGUUAGAAAAUUUCAAUAGGUAACAAAGUUUUCAAUAUUACACUUUAAUUGAAUGUUCCUGUAGAGUAUGCUGGUCAUUCCCAGGGAAUGCAUGAACAGAUAAGACAAUUACUUUGAAUGCAAUACACGUCUCUUUAGAUCUGCCACAUGCACUUAUGUAAUAAAUGAUCUGAUGUGAAAUGUUACUCAAAAGAAUGUGAAACUACAAGGUUCUGUUUAGAAAGUCUUUAAUGCUGAUAUAUUUGGCACCCGUUUUGACUGACAGCAGAAGUUCAAGAAUCUUUAGAAGACUCACUAAUAUACUAGAAUAAAAUAAUAUCAACUCCGAUAAUAGGGUGGGAUGAUGUCCAGUCAACCUUAGAUUCAUUUAGGCUCUGUUUUGUGAUAAUGACCGGCUGACUGUAAAUUAUC